rnacentral:lncRNA from 1 species
UACUUUUGUAUUUGACCACGUAAGACAAUUGGAUGGGCACCUAAUAUAUUUCCUGGUACACUCCUAUUGUGGUUGGUCUUCUUUAUCUGUAUGUCUAUCUUGUUCAGUCUGCGCUUCAGCUUUGCAGGAAAAUAGAAAUUUUUUUUUCUGUGCUUGUUUAUGCUAACCAUGGUGCCUACAACUGCAUCUGCUGCCUUUACACGGGACUGCAAACCUGUUUUUUUCAACCUUCUGUUUUAUGGGUGUGCACACCCAUAAAUCUCCUGUGGCUGGGUUAAGGGAACAUACAAGCAGCUCUUCAGCAUUAAGAAUGUGAUGGGAGAGAUUCAGGUAGAUUUGAACUGCCAUCAUCAAUCAAGACCAAGGAGAAGGCUGCUUUCCAGGAUGUACACAUGGCCUCUGUUUGCUGUUGCUGUUUUGCUUCUUUUAAGAGGUGAACCAAUAUAUGUAUGUCUGUUUCUACUGUCACUUGCAGCUCAACAGAACCCUGUAAUAUACAUGAACAAGUUUCUGGAAGUUAAGAGGGUUGAAGUUCGGGAUAGAAAUGUAAAUGUGUUCGGACAUACUGAGAAAUAAAUCACAUUGAAGAGAUGGAGAAAGGAGUUGCUGGAGAGGCAAAAUGAAAAGGCAGAUGCUAAGGAACUGCACAAAAAGAAAAAAUGUAUCCUAAUUGGGGCAGUGUGAACUUGUCAGACAGGGAAGAAGCAUGAAGUCAUAAAUUGCUUAGAGAAUUAUAGCAGUACCUUGACAUAGUAGGAAAAAGAAAGCUUAUGUGUACUCAAGAUCUGAAUUCAAGUCCUGGCUCUAUCUCUUACUGGAUGUGAGAUGCUGGACAAGGUACUUCUCUAUUUCAAUUCUCUCAUUCAAAUCUAUGAAUUCAAAAAUUUGAAUUAACCACCAAAGCCCCCUUUGGCUGUCAAUUUUAAUCUGCAGUGACAUCCUGGUGGGUUGAAAUUUAAGACAGUCAUUAAUGGAUAAUAAACAAAGACCAUUUGUGUAGGAGUUUACCCCAUGUGUAUGGGUCUUAUUCUUAGUAAAUUGGGAAAUUAUAGAAUGUGAAUGGGGCAAUCUUGAAUUGUGAGGAGGAGCUCAUUUUAUCAGGCAAGAUCCCGAUUUUCAAAUCAGUACCUGAAUGUUGCUUAUUUGAUUAAACUCUGGUAUACAGAAAGCAUUAGCUUCAGCAUUAUGCCUCUACUACAUAGGAGAAGAACUAAAUUAGAAGGAAAUAGAUGUUUGACUGACUUAGAGAAAUAUUGAAAGAGUGGAUUGAUGAUGCUUUCCAGGACCAUUUAAUUUGACUGAUAUAAUAAAAAUAUUGGCAGUAAUGAGAGUCUUCUGAAUUAAAACCAGCCACGUUUUCUCAUUAAUAUAUUACUAUUGGUGAAAUUUUGUUUUAGAUGGUCUUCCAAAGCAGGAAAUAUUUCCAAUAUAAUUAAUUAUCACAGGCCGGGCGUGGUGAUUCAUGCCUGUAAUCCUGGCACUUUGGGAGGCUGAGG